rnacentral:misc_RNA from 1 species
GCGUAAUAAGGAAUGCGCGAGCGGCGACGGCGGCGGCUGAGGCGCGGGAGGCAGGCUCCGCGCAGGCGACGGCGGCGCGGCGGCUGAGGCGCGGGCGCCGGGGCGACCGCCGCCACACACACUACCUUGCUACCUUAACCGAACGGACGCGUUGCGAGCAAUCUCGCUGUUUUGUCGGGAAUUUGUAUUUAAUUUCAUAAUCACGAACAUUAUAAGUAAUAAUCACCAGUAUUUCUUUUAUUUUAUGUCCCACAAGAGACAUAAUUUGGCGCCCCCGGGUGGGCCACGAACUGCCUAUUUCGGAAUUACGUCGUAAGCAUAGUCCGUCUGUUCCAUUGUUGUUACGUGUCACCGCAGCACCGCGCGCUACAAUAUUACAUCGCGUUGUGAUUCGAUAACCCUGAGCAGAGUCUGAGAAGCCCGAAAGAAGGCUAACACGACGAGGUGACGGUCCAGCGGCACGAAAGCGGUUUCGUCCUCCAUCAUCGAGUGCCACGUCCCUGAUGUCGCUACCGUCUCCAGAGCUAAUUGACAUCAAUCCAAGAAGACUAAACAGAUAUGAAGUAUUGGAACAAAUGAGACAACACUUCUGGAAAAGAUGGCAGUCAGAAUAUGUUACUGAACUCCAGCAUCGUUG